UGGGCGAAAGCCUGAUCCAGCCAUGCCGCGUGUGUGAAGAAGGUCUUCGGAUUGUAAAGCACUUUAAGUUGGGAGGAAGGGCAGUAAAUUAAUACUUUGCUGUUUUGACGUUACCGACAGAAUAAGCACCGGCUAACUCUGUGCCAGCAGCCGCGGUAAUAA
rnacentral:rRNA from 1 species